rnacentral:rRNA from 1 species
UACGAAGGGUGCAAACGUUUGCUCGGAAUUAUUGGGCGUAAAGCGCACGUAGGCGGCUUUUCAAGUCGGAUGUGAAAUCCCUCGGCUUAACCAAGGAAGUGCAUCCGAAACUGGAGAGCUUGAGUUACUUAAGAGGAUCGCGGAAUUCCCGGUGUAGAGGUGAAAUUCGUAGAUAUCGGGAAGGAACGACCAGUGGCGAAGGGCGGAGCGAUCCAUGGGAAGA